rnacentral:rRNA from 1 species
UACGUAGGGGGCAAGCGUUAUCCGGAAUUAAUGGGCGUAAAGCGCACGCAGGCGGUUUGCCAAGUUUGGAGUGACAGUUGUUGGCUCAACCGACAAAGGACUUCAAAAACUGGUGAACUUGAGGGCGAGAGAGGAACAUGGAACUCCAGGUGUAGUAGUGAAAUGCGUAGAUAUCUGGAAGAACACCAAUGGCGAAGGCAAUGUUCUGGCUCGUUUCUGACGCUCAGGUGCGAAAGCCAGGGGAGCGAACGGG